UAGAGUUUGAUCCUGGCUCAGGACGAACGCUGGCGGCGUGCCUAACACAUGCAAGUCGUACGGGCUUGAGGGGCAACUCUCAAGUCAGUGGCGAACGGGUGCGUAACACGUGAGCAACUUGCCCUAUGGUGGGGGAUAGCCGGCCCAACGGCCGGGUAAUACCGCAUAUGGCGCUGAGGUCACAUGGCCUUAGUGGGAAAGCGGCCGCAAGGUCGCGCCAGAGGAGGGGCUCGCGGCGUAUCAGCUAGUUGGCGGGGUAAUGGCCCACCAAGGCUACGACGCGUAGCUGGUCUGAGAGGAUGGCCAGCCACAUUGGGACUGAGAUACGGCCCAGACUCCUACGGGAGGCAGUAGUGGGGAAUAUUGCGCAAUGGCCGCAAGGCUGACGCAGCGACGCCGCGUGUGGGAUGAAGGCCUUCGGGUUGUAAACCACUGUCGGGGGGGCGAAUACCUGGCUUCGAAUAGGAGACCAGGGGUGACGGUACCUCCAAAGGAAGCACCGGCUAACUCCGUGCCAGCAGCCGCGGUAAUACGGAGGGUGCAAGCGUUGUCCGGAAUCACUGGGCGUAAAGGGCGCGUAGGCGGCUAUGUAAGUCAUCUGUGAAAUCCCGGGGCUCAACUCCGGGGCCGCAGGUGAGACUGUGUGGCUAGAGCAUGGUAGAGGCGAGUGGAAUUCCCGGUGUAGCGGUGGAAUGCGUAGAUAUCGGGAAGAACACCGGUGGCGAAGGCGGCUCGCUGGGCCAUUGCUGACGCUGAGGCGCGAAAGCGUGGGGAGCAAACAGGAUUAGAUACCCUGGUAGUCCACGCCGUAAACGAUGGGUACUAUGCGUCUGGGGGAGCGACCCCCUCGGUGCCGUCGCUAACGCAGUAAGUACCCCGCCUGGGGAGUACGGUCGCAAGACUGAAACUCAA
rnacentral:rRNA from 1 species